UACGUAGGGGGCAAGCGUUGUCCGGAAUCAUUGGGCGUAAAGAGCGUGUAGGCGGCCCGAUAAGUCCGCUGUGAAAGUCCAGGGCUCAACCCUGGGAUGCCGGUGGAUACUGUCGGGCUCGAGUCCGGAAGAGGAGUGUGGAAUUCCUGGUGUGAGCGGUGAAAUGCGCAGAUAUCAGGAGGAACACCAAUGGCGAAGGCAGCACUCUGGGACGUGACUGACGCUGAGACGCGAAAGCGUGGGGGAGCAAACAGGG
rnacentral:rRNA from 1 species